rnacentral:rRNA from 1 species
AUACGUAGGGGGCGAGCGUUGUCCGGAAUGAUUGGGCGUAAAGGGCGCGUAGGCGGCGCGGUAAGUCUGGAGUGAAAGUCCUGCUUUCAAGGUGGGAAUUGCUUUGGAUACUGCCGCGCUUGAGUGCAGGAGAGGUUAUCGGAAUUCCCGGUGUAGCGGUGAAAUGCGUAGAGAUCGGGAGGAACACCAGUGGCGAAGGCGGGUAACUGGACUGCAACUGACGCUGAGGCGCGAAAGUGUGGGGAGCAAACAGGAUUAGAUUCCCUGGUAGUCCACACUGUAAACGAUGAAUGCUAGGUGUAAGAGGUAUCGACCCCUUUUGUGCCGGAGUCAACACAAUAAGCAUUCCGCCUGGGGAGUACGGCCGCAAGGUUGAAACUCAAAGGAAUUGACGGGG